GCUGAUUGUCACCAACGUCGUCUCCGCCGACCGCGAGUCUCCGGAGAGCGUGACCGAGUACGGCCAUGAGCGGCUCGACCAGGCACGGGCGGCCUUGGCCGAGCGUGGUGUCGAGGCUGAGCUCGUGCCGACCUCGGGACAGCCGGCCGAGGCGAUCGUCGCGCUCGCCAAGGAGCGCAACGCCGACCUAAUCGUGGUCGGGAUGCGCAGGAAGGGCUUCUUCGAGCGGCUCGUCGAGGGGAGCGUCGCGCAGGACGUCAUGCGGCGGGCGACGUGCGACGUCCUAGCCGUCCACUAAGCGCCGCGCCUUGAACGAUCCGCUCCUGAUCCUCGCCGGUUUGAUCACCGGGCUCCU
rnacentral:misc_RNA from 1 species